AGGACGAACGCUGGCGGCGUGCUUAACACAUGCAAGUCGAGCGAUGAAGCACCUUCGGGUGUGAAUUAGCGGCGAACGGGUGAGGAACACGUGAAGAAUCUGCCUUCAACUCUGGGAUAACUCCGGGAAACCGGGGCUAAUACCGGAUAUGAGCCUUGAUCGCAUGAUCGGGGCUGGAAAGUUUUUCGGUUGAAGAUGACUUCGCGGCCUAUCAGCUUGUUGGUGAGGUAAUGGCUCACCAAGGCGACGACGGGUAGCCGGCCUGAGAGGGCGACCGGCCACACUGGGACUGAGACACGGCCCAGACUCCUACGGGAGGCAGCAGUGGGGAAUAUUGGGCAAUGGAGGAAACUCUGACCCAGCGACGCCGCGUGAGGGAUGAAGGCCUUCGGGUUGUAAACCUCUUUCAGUAGGGAAGAAGCGAAAGUGACGGUACCUACAGAAGAAGCACCGGCUAACUAUGUG
rnacentral:rRNA from 1 species